UUGGUGUGUGUCUCUUCUUCUCUUCCUUCCUUUCUUUCUUUUCUUUCCUUAAAAUACUAGACACUACAGCAAAUUGCAGGUGAACAGCAUAGUGCUCAAUCUCCAGGCCAAGUGGGCGAAGGGGAGUCUCUGAUCCUUAACAGGGAUUUGGGCUCUGUCCUUGAGGACACUGAUGACCACUGGCUUCAAAACUGGGGACCUGAGAAAUAAGGCAGAGCGGGGACCUCACAGAGGGGCCCUUCUACACUACUACUUUGUAAGCAAAGAACGGACGGGGUUGGGGAGGAAGGGCUGUGCUCGUCUUUUUAACCAGAGGACUCCCUACAGGGUGAAAAAAAAAAAAAGUAAAUAAACAUAUGCCUAAAUGCUGAUUUCUGCAAGUCCGUGGCUUUGCGGGGAGGGCUCACACGUUGCUUUCCAAGUUCUCAUGGUGGGGGGCGGGGGGUGGUGGUGCAGAGAGUGGGUUAUUGAAAUGUUCAGCUGGAUCGUGGGAGGGCGACGCAACAAAAAGCGACUUCCACAGCCCUCUCCACGCAUUGUCCACCGGGGACUCUGGAAUAAACGGCCAGCUGGCUUCGUCAUGCAAAAAGAUGCGGCCAGUCCCACCUGUCACCCACCACCCCCACUGGGGCAGCAGGCAGGAAACGAGAAUGGAGACAGGAGGCCCAGAAGGGGUCCACGGGCAGAGAGAGAGAGAUGGAACCUCCCUCGGGCUCUCAUCCGGGCCCUUCAGAGCGGGCUGGGAGCCGGGGUAAGCUCGGGGCAGCUCCGGAAAGGCCUGAGAAGGACCCUGGUAAAAAUCGAGGGGUCAGGUUCAGGGGCCGGACGGCGCAGACGCGGCCAAACGCACAUAUAAAUUAAUCAGACACCUGCACUGAAUUUAUCACCGGCGCUCUCGGGAUGAACAUGGCAAAGACAUAUGAGGCCCCAUCUCCGAAUUUCCCCAGGAACGAUGAUGGCGUUUCCCCAUAGUCUUUUCCCUAAUUCUCUCCAAUUAAUCCAAGUGUGUAGUUACAGGCCGGUCGACUUAACAGCCUCGCGUUUCUGGGCCUCAAAAAAAAAAAAAAAAAAAAAAAUCACACCUUCCUGAGCCUGGAGCCCCUUGCAAAGGCACCCACAAGAGACGCGGCUCUCCGUGGCCCAUGUAAAAUUGGCGAGAAAUAAAUCUCAGCGUUGAGAGAGAGAGAGAGAGAGAGACAGACAGAGAGAAAGAGGGAGAGAGAGAGGAUGCUAAUUGUACCAGGGACGCUGACAGACUUGGCAGAAAGUGUCUUCAUUGAGAAAUUGCGAUCUGAAGUUCUCCCUUGUUCCUUCAGAAACAGAAGGAGAGAGGCAUGGGGGAACCUGACAGGAAGUGAGGAUCCGAGACUUCAAAUACAAACAUUAUGAAAAACAAGCAACAUCUGCAAACAACACUCUUGCAAAGGCACUUCCUGGACAGUUGGAUGUAACAGAGCAAUCUCCAUGCAGCAGGAAACCAGAGAAGGCGAACUUUCAGCAGCCUUAAUAUUUGGAUAAUCCUGCAUAAUGACUUCAGGGUUGCAUCUGGAAAGCUCCACUGGCUCCUCUCCAUGCUAGGCGCCUGGCCCGCUGGGUGACCCGAGUAAAGGAGGGGAGGGGGGGAGAAAAGGACCCCCGUGUGUAAACAAUUUAUUGCUGCCUCGGCGAAAUGUAAACAAAACCCACCCACCUUGCCCUGGGGAUCGGCUUGGCCUAGCGAGUUUGACAGAACUUGCUGCUCGGCUGGCCUCUCCCGGAGUUGCCUCCCCAACAUCCUGGAAAUUCUAGAGGGAAAAACCACGCACGAGUGGCCGCUUUCUGUGCCUCGUGGAAUCUUAAAUAGAAUGAAACAGGCCUCCAACAAUCAAUAUUACUGACAAAUUAAUCUCUGCGAAUAAACUUGUUAGCUUCAA